rnacentral:rRNA from 1 species
GUAGACCCGAAACCGGGCGACCUACCCAUGAGCAGGAUGAAGCGAAAGUAAAAUUUCGUGGAGGUCCGAACCCACGAGCGUUGAAAAGCUCGGGGAUGACUUGUGGGUAGCGGUGAAAUUCCAAUCGAGCCCGGAGAUAGCUGGUUCUCCCCGAAAUAGCUUUAGGGCUAGCCUCAAGGUGAGAGAUACGGAGGUAGAGCACUGAAUGUCCUAGGGGGUAUUGCACCUACCGAAGACUAUCAAACUCCGAAUGCCGUCAUCUUAUACUUGGGAGUCAGACUGUGGGUGAUAAGAUUCAUAGUCGAAAGGGCAACAGCCCAGAUCGUCAGCUAAGGUCCCUAAAUGUAAGUUAAGUGGUAAAGGAUGUGGGAUUGCACAGACAACCAGGAUGUUGGCUUAGAAGCAGCCACUCAUUCAAAGAGUGCGUAAUAGCUCACUGGUCGAGUGAUCCUGCGCCGAAGAUUUCCGGGGCUAAAACUU